AACGAACGCUGGCGGCAUGCCUGACACAUGCAAGUCGAACGAGACCUUCGGGUCUAGUGGCGCACGGGUGCGUAACGCGUGGGAACCUGCCUUUAGGUUCGGAAUAACUCAGGGAAAUUUGAGCUAAUACCGGAUGAUGUCUUCGGACCAAAGAUUUAUCGCCUUUAGAUGGGCCCGCGUUGGAUUAGCUAGUUGGUGGGGUAAAGGCCUACCAAGGCGACGAUCCAUAGCUGGUCUGAGAGGAUGAUCAGCCACACUGGGACUGAGACACGGCCCAGACUCCUACGGGAGGCAGCAGUGGGGAAUAUUGGACAAUGGGCGAAAGCCUGAUCCAGCAAUGCCGCGUGAGUGAUGAAGGCCUUAGGGUUGUAAAGCUCUUUUACCCGAGAUGAUAAUGACAGUAGCGGGAGAAUAAGCUCCGGCUAACUCCGUG
rnacentral:rRNA from 1 species